UACGGAGGGUGCAAGCGUUGUCCGGAAUCACUGGGCGUAAAGGGCGCGUAGGCGGCUCGGUAAGUAGGGGGUGAAAUCCUGCGGCUUAACCGCAGGGCUGCCUUCUAAACUGUCGAGCUCGAGCACGGUAGAGGCAGAUGGAAUUCCCGGUGUAGCGGUGGAAUGCGUAGAGAUCGGGAAGAACAUCAGUGGCGAAGGCGGUCUGCUGGGCCGAUACUGACGCUGAGGAGCGAAAGCGUGGGGAGCGAACAGG
rnacentral:rRNA from 1 species